GCCCUAGUUAGCCUAAAAACGAGAACGAUGCGAUUUGCAAAUCCUUCGUUCCAAGCGGUCUGCUUCCUUCGCUUUCCGAGAGCUGGAAGGGGCAGAUCUUUCCCUCAAAAAAUCCAAUGUACGCGGAUCUUUCUGCUAGGGCAGAAUUGAUCCGACUCCUCCUCAACCUCACAUGGGGAUUUUGCUUCCAGUUGAAGCAGAUCAAUAUACUUUUGAUUGGGAGCCAUUGCGGAAAUUCAGGUACCUUGAGCUUGGAAUUGGAUAUGCCGAAGAAAGGACUAUAGCAUAUGCGGAGAAAAUUCGCGUGGAGGUCCCUUUUCUUGCUAGUGGGAUCGUGGUCCCAAUUCUCUCACCAUCAAUCCCCUGCCUCCUUUCUAGGCUAAUUACCCUCCCACUCCGGCAGAAGAUUGUUUCCAAUUUCUGGCUGUAAGAGCAAGGGAGUUCCUGGUGAAAGCUAUCCCUGCUGAAUGACGCUUGAGGGAUUUUAUAUGAGGCAAAUCAAGCCCUGGUAAUAUACUUCUUCAUUCCCUUUUUCUUUCUUUUUUGCUCAACUUUUUUUUUCAUUCUUGAAUUAGGGAGAGAAAUCCUUGAUAUUUCUCCUAACUUGACUCCUAAAAUUAAUAUUGAGAAACUUGUGAUGCCAUGCAUUUGGUUUCUUUUGAAUGAUUUGCUUGAAUGCUUCCAUUUCCUAUUUCAGUAAACCCAACAUUGGGUGAAGUGUGUUAGAACAAGAAGAUUUUUUGUUGCUGUGAAAUGCCAAUUUAGAAGGCUUUUCAAGGAGGGGCCUCAAACAUGGGAAACCCCUUUUGCCAUUAUCAUUAUCAUUGAUCAAAGUUCUUGCCAAGAAAAUUAAGAGCUUUGUCUGAUACUGGAAAAUAUUAUUUUGAAUAUUACACACCUAUAGUUUUGCAUAUGAUCUCCAUGGAGACAUUCAGUAUUUUAGGGGCAUGAGUGAUGCAUGGAAUGCAUUUGUCUGAAUCUCCAGGCAGAGCAAGCUUUGAUCUAAAUGCAGGCAUAGAAUGGUAGAAUAAUAAUGAAAUUGAGGUUUUUGGAAGGUGGGAGGAUUGCUGAAAGCAGAAGGAAAAAGUUUUUUUUUUUUCCCUUAAUUAGAUUUGGCAAGUGGACGAUACAUUUUUCAUGUAGAAUUUAAUGAACCUGUUUUUGUUUUUGUUCUGACAACUUUAUAGUGUUGAUUGUGGGAUUGGCUUUGUUCUGAUCUGUUCUUUGGUGUUUUUGGUUAUUUAUUACUAGACCAUUGUGUACUUGUUAAUAAAAUUUAAACCCCACUCCUCUUUUUCGGAAAAAUUUUUAAAAGAAAAAGAAAAAGAAAAGAGAUGCAUAAUAUCGGCUUGGGGAGCACGUACUCACUGGGUACUGGCCACUUCCACAUUUUGAAAUUUCAAAAUGAAAGGAUAAAAAAUGUAUGAAUUUUUGAGAGCUAAGCACGUUUGAUUUGCGGGCUGAGGUGAGAACAACUUUGGCAACAGAAAAGGAGAUGGAGGUGGAGAUUAAAGAGGCGACUAAGUUGCUGCCACCUCAAUCUUCAAGGUUGGUUCUUGCCACUUGUGCAGCUCCAGGCAAGAUAUCAAAACACAGAUGGUCUGUUCCCAGCACCUGGUGCAAAUUGUAAGCGUGUUCUGCACUCUUUUGCCUUCUUCCCCAUUGUUUUUAAUUUUUGAUUUGCUGCUGCUGCUGCUGCUGCUAGCUUCUAUUGUUGUUCUUUUCACUAAUUAUGCACCUCACAGUCCCCAGUUAUAAAGCAAGUUUAAGGCUCAUAUAAAAUGAUAUGAUCCCUUGCGGUGCGCUCUUCUUUA